UCCCACUGCCUUCACUCUGCCUUCACUUUUUGGCUGUCCCCAUAGGAAAACACUUUUAAGAGCCCUUUUGGUUCCUGGUAGAACCUAAAAGGGUUCUCCUAAGGUGACAGUGGAAGAACCCUUUUUUGAACCCAUUUUUACUAAGAGUGUAUUCGACCUUCACUAUCAAAUGUUUUGGCAGGAGUUGUAAUGGAGGGACAAGGAUUUCAAGGUGCACUGAGGGUCAUGCUCCUUGUGUGUCUCCUUGGACUAACAAAAGAGUUUGAACUUGAGGACAAAGACUGGGACGAGUUGAGGUCUGAUGUGGCUGCGCUGCACAGAUUGAAAGGAUUACCUGAUCAAAUGACACGUAGGACCACAGGAGCAGACACCAGAGAGAUAACAAUGCACGGGACCAGGACAAAGAGAUUCAGCAAUUACAGGGCAUAUGUGGAGAAAAAGCCCAUGGCUUUAUUUGAUGGUCUUAGGGGAUGUGACCAUUUUACAACAUGCGUCAUUCAAAUGGACCAGGAUUUUGAAAGGUUUCUGGAAGAAAUUGAUAGACAAAAGAUCCAAGAUUUGCUGCUGUCUGCUUCUGAAAUGUCUUACACCUACAGCAACAAACUUCUCCUUAUAAUGGACAAGGAAGAGUGGACUCGUCAGCGAGUAGAAGAGGAGUACAGCAUAGAUCCUCAUUAUUCAGUAAUGCUUUGGUCCAUAGAAAGAGGAAGAGGGGACAAGGAGGGAAAGACAGCAGUGAUAGAGCUACUGAAAUGGGGAAAGACACAAUAGAAGUGCGAGAAGAGGACGCACCUCUCCAGGGCUUAACUUCUCAACCUAAAGUAGAGGAAGAAGAAGGAAGAGAAGGAAACUGAAUGAGAACGAUAGACAU
ensembl:lncRNA